AUCAAUUGGUGGUGGCACUUCCCAACUUAGCGGGUGGUGUGAAAUUCUGUGCUCAUGUAAAAGAGACAAGAUUCAACAAGAAGCCCGCACAAGAUGCGGGCUUUUUUGU
rnacentral:sRNA from 1 species